UACGUAGGGGGCUAGCGUUGUCCGGAAUCAUUGGGCGUAAAGAGCGUGUAGGCGGUCCGGUAAGUCCGCUGUGAAAGUCAGGGGCUCAACCCUCGAAUGCCGGUGGAUACUGUCGGGCUAGAGUGCGGAAGAGGCGAGUGGAAUUCCUGGUGUAGCGGUGAAAUGCGCAGAUAUCAGGAGGAACACCCGUGGCUAAGGCGGCUCUCUAGUACGGUACUGACGCUGAGACGCGAAAGCGUGGGGAGCGAACAGG
rnacentral:rRNA from 1 species